UACGGAGGGUGCAAGCGUUAUCCGGAUUCACUGGGCGUAAAGGGUGCGUAGGCGGGCAGGUAAGUCAGUGGUGAAAUCUCCGGGCUUAACCCGGAAACUGCCGUUGAUACUAUCUGUCUUGAAUAUAGUAGAGGUGAGCGGAAUAUGUCAUGUAGCGGUGAAAUGCUUAGAUAUGACAUAGAACAUCGAUUGCGAAGGCAGCUCGCUACGCUAUUAUUGACACUGAGGCACGAAAGCGUGGAGAUCAAACAGG
rnacentral:rRNA from 1 species